rnacentral:misc_RNA from 1 species
CUUCAUGAUAAGGAAUUUAAGCUUCCAUAUCAGAAGCCUAUGCCCUGUUUGGGUGAUUAUGAAGCUUGCCGGGCAUGCUACAAGGAGCAUGGUAAUGAUAGAUAUUUUGAAAUGUGCUCCUUUAACUAGGAGCUAUUAUGAUUGUGUUCACAGAGUUAAGCAGCAGGUAAGUCUGGCAGAUCAAUAGUUUUUCAUGGGGG